rnacentral:rRNA from 1 species
AGUGAACGCUGGCGGUAGGCCUAACACAUGCAAGUCGAACGGCAGCACAGUAAGAGCUUGCUCUUACGGGUGGCGAGUGGCGGACGGGUGAGGAAUACAUCGGAAUCUACUUUUUCGUGGGGGAUAACGUAGGGAAACUUACGCUAAUACCGCAUACGACCUACGGGUGAAAGCAGGGGAUCUUCGGACCUUGCGCGAUUGAAUGAGCCGAUGUCGGAUUAGCUAGUUGGCGGGGUAAAGGCCCACCAAGGCGACGAUCCGUAGCUGGUCUGAGAGGAUGAUCAGCCACACUGGAACUGAGACACGGUCCAGACUCCUACGGGAGGCAGCAGUGGGGAAUAUUGCACAAUGGAGGGAACUCUGAUGCAGCGACGCCGCGUGAGCGAUGAAGGAAUUCGUUUCGUAAAGCUCUGUUCUAUGGGAAGAAAAGGACUGUACCAUAGGAGAAAGCCCCGGCUAAAUACGUG